rnacentral:rRNA from 1 species
UACGGGGGGGGGUAAGCGUUGUUCGGAAUUACUGGGCGUAAAGGGCUCGUAGGCGGCCAACUAAGUCAUACGUGAAAUCCCUCAGCUUAACUGGGGAACUGCGUGUGAUACUGGAUGGCUUGGAUUUGGGAGAGGGAUGCGGAAUUCCAGGUGUAGCGGUGAAAUGCGUAGAUAUCUGGAGGAACACCGGUGGCGAAGGCGGCAUUCUGGACUGCAACUGACACUGAAGAACGAAAGCCAGGGGGAGCAAACGGGG